rnacentral:rRNA from 1 species
UACGUAGGGGGCAAGCGUUGUCCGGAUUCAUUGGGCGUAAAGAGCGUGUAGGCGGCCAGGUAGGUCGGUUGUGAAAACUGGAGGCUCAACCUUCAGAGGUCGACCGAAACCAUCUGGCUAGAGUCCGGGAGAGGAGAGUGGAAUUCCUGGUGUAGCGGUGAAAUGCGCAGAUAUCAGGAGGAACACCGAUGGCGAAGGCAGAUCUCUGGGCCGUAACUGACGCUGAGGAGCGAAAGCGUGGGGAGCGAACAGG